AACCUCCCAGGGGGACUGGACCUCAUGGACGUCAAUAUAUACAACCUCAGUGUUAUACAAUCUCCCCAGUGAGAAACUCUGCCCCUCAUAUAGCCGAUACAUAUAUAGAACUCCAGAGGAUCCAUCGGGAUGAUGACAGCAACUCUCAUCACCAGGAGCCUCACACUGGAGGCUCUUGCACCAUAGAAGACUGUAACCCAUUGAGCAUAAAAGUUAAAACCUGGUAUGAUGCUGACUUAUGGACAAAGGGUAAGACAUGGGGCAUGGGGUCUCAUGCAUACCAACACUUCACCAUCCAGUUGGAAGUGCAGCCAUGGUCCCAGAACCCCAUUGGACCUUUGAGACCAAUUCUUUUGGGUCAGGACCCCCGGGUCACUUCACCACCCCUGACAGUAGCGGAGGCUG